AAGUCGUGACAAGGUUUCCGUAGGUGAACCUGCGGAAGGAUCAUUAACACGUAUCCAACGUUAAAACCCCCCGUGAACCUUCAUUAUGCUGGUUGUGCGCCAUCGUAUGGGUGAAAGCCCCCUAUAGUCACCUCCAUUGCACGAUUAACGCGGUGUGCGAUUCGUACGCACCCUCCAUAAAAUGCUUAGAACAACUGUUAACAAUGGAUAUCUUGGUUCUC
rnacentral:misc_RNA from 1 species